rnacentral:lncRNA from 1 species
GGGUGCCAGCCACGGAGGAGGUCUGUCCCCUGCUCCCGGGCCAGACCACAGGCAGCCAGGCUGGGCUGCAGCCAGGCUGUGGGGGGAGGUGUUCUCAGCCCCUAAGCUCCUCUCCGUCUGGCCCUGGGGACCCCUCCCCGACCCCAGAUCCCAGCAACCACCCAGGGUUCUUUCAAGCAGGUUUUCCCAGUGGUACUGUUCUCAAGAACUCGGAAUGGUUUUGCCAGAAGUGUAGGGAGAUCUGUGGGUCUCUGGAGGGUUUGUGCCAAUCCAGAAUCUAUGCUCAGGUCAGCACACUGGCCCAACAGCCUAGGGUGGAGACAAAAUGCAGGACACUGAAAUUCUAUUUUGAUUUGCUAAGUCUGGCCCCCUGCCUGCUUUUGUAAAUAAAGCUUUAUUGAAACACAGCUACACGCAUUCAUUUACAUAUUAUCUCUGGCUGCUUUUCAUGCUACAGUAUUGUCCAGCAUCUGCAACAGAGACCUUAUGACCUGCAA